rnacentral:rRNA from 1 species
UACGGGGGGGGCAAGCGUUGUUCGGAAUUACUGGGCGUAAAGCGCGCGUAGGCGGCUAAUUAAGUCAAAUGUGAAAUCCCCGAGCUUAACUUGGGAAUUGCAUUCGAUACUGGUUAGCUAGAGUGUGGGAGAGGAUGGUAGAAUUCCAGGUGUAGCGGUGAAAUGCGUAGAGAUCUGGAGGAAUACCGAUGGCGAAGGCAGCCAUCUGGCCUAACACUGACGCUGAGGUGCGAAAGCAUGGGGAGCAAACAGG